GCUCACCUUCGGGUGGGAGUGGCAGACGGGUGAGUAACACGUGGGAACGUACCCUUUGGUUCGGGACAACUCUGGGAAACUGGAGCUAAUACCGGAUACGCCCUUUUGGGGAAAGGUUUACUGCCGAAGGAUCGGCCCGCGUCUGAUUAGCUAGUUGGUGGGGUAACGGCCUACCAAGGCGACGAUCAGUAGCUGGUCUGAGAGGAUGAUCAGCCACACUGGGACUGAGACACGGCCCAGACUCCUACGGGAGGCAGCAGUGGGGAAUAUUGGACAAUGGGCGCAAGCCUGAUCCAGCCAUGCCGCGGGAGUGAUGAAGGCCUUAGGGUUGUAAAGCUCUUUUAUCCGGGACGAUAAUGACGGUACCGGAGGAAUAAGCCCCGGCUAACUUCGUGCCAGCAGCCGCGGUAAUACGAAGGGGGCUAGCGUUGCUCGGAAUCACUGGGCGUAAAGGGCGCGUAGGCGGCGUUUUAAGUCGGGGGUGAAAGCCUGUGGCUCAACCACAGAAUGGCCUUCGAUACUGGGACGCUUGAGUCUGGUAGAGGUUGGUGGAACUGCGAGUGUAGAGGUGAAAUUCG
rnacentral:rRNA from 1 species